rnacentral:rRNA from 1 species
GAUGAACGCUGGCGGCGUGCUUAACACAUGCAAGUCGAACGGAAAGGCCCAAGCUUGCUUGGGUGCUCGAGUGGCGAACGGGUGAGUAACACGUGGGUGAUCUGCCCUGCACUUUGGGAUAAGCCUGGGAAACUGGGUCUAAUACCGGAUAGGACCAUCGUUUAGUGUCGGUGGUGGAAAGUUUUUCGGUGUGGGAUGAGCUCGCGGCCUAUCAGCUUGUUGGUGGGGUAAUGGCCUACCAAGGCGUCGACGGGUAGCCGGCCUGAGAGGGUGUACGGCCACAUUGGGACUGAGAUACGGCCCAGACUCCUACGGGAGGCAGCAGUGGGGAAUAUUGCACAAUGGGCGCAAGCCUGAUGCAGCGACGCCGCGUGGGGGAUGACGGCCUUCGGGUUGUAAACUCCUUUCGCCAAGGGCGAAGCGUUUUGUGACGGUACUUGGAGAAGAAGCACCGGCUAACUACGUG